UAGCAAGACUGUCUUAUCACUAUGACGUGAUAAUGUCCCCAUGCAGAAUCUAAAGUCUUGCUGGAACUAAAGCUGACAGAAGCUAUUGAUAUUUUUAUACAGUUGUAGGUGAGACAACAGAGAGAUGUCAACAGAAAGCGCUGACAGAGGGACAGGCUGGACUUGUUCAUGCAACACAGAUGAAGAGUCAAGAGUGUAGUCACUGGAACAACAAAAGCAAAUAAAUAAAAACAAGGAACUUAGUGGAAGUGUUAUGAAAGCCAAGUAGAGAACUAACCUGAAAACGGAGGAAUGCAAAAAAGACCAGACUGAGAAUCAUAGAGCAAUGUCUACAAAAGUAGAAGAAUGUGGGACUGAGAAGUCGAUGAAUCACUAGAAUCUUCAGAAUUAUACGAAAGUGGAGAAGAUGUCCUCCCAGGAAUUAAGCUUGGGACUGCGCACCUAGAAAAAGUGGCUGUGGAAAUCACAAAUUGACAAGAUGCGUUGUUUGGAACACCUUUCUGACACCUACAGAGACUGCUUGGGAGAGGCUCAGGAGCAGAGGGCACUCGGAGCAUUUGAUGUCUCCAAGAGCCACAUUCCUCAGCCCAUGGUCCACAGACUGGCGCUGGUCUGCCGUUUGGAACUGGUCUGCAGUGUGAUAAGUACCAAAACUGAGAGUAAGCGUUUGGAAAAUUUUAUGGCAAUUGGACACAGUAAUCUUGUGUCUGUUGAAUUAAAAAAAAAAAAAAAAAAAACCUGAGACUUGACUUUCAAAUGUCCUUUAAAAAAAAGUUUUAUUUUUCUGCUCGUUUGUGCUUAUUGUAUUUUACAAAAAGGGUCAGUCCACCACUGACUGUGGAGGAGAAGGAUCCCUCUCCAAAUUUGGCAUGAGAAUCAUCACUGCUUUAGGGAAGGCUCACUCUGCCCUGCCUAAGGGCAAGUCUGUGUCCAAAUUCAGGAGGGUGG
rnacentral:lncRNA from 12 species